UCUUUUGUGGUUCCAUAUGAAAUUUAAAGUAGUUUUUUCUAAUUCUGUGCAGAAUGUCAAUGAUAGUUUGAUGGAAAUAGCAUUGAAUCUGUAAAUUGCUUUGGGCA